rnacentral:rRNA from 1 species
GACGAACGCUGGCGGCGUGCUUAACACAUGCAAGUCGAACGGAAAGGCCCUGCUUUUGUGGGGUGCUCGAGUGGCGAACGGGUGAGUAACACGUGAGUAACCUGCCCUUGACUUUGGGAUAACUUCAGGAAACUGGGGCUAAUACCGGAUAGGAGCUCCUGCUGCAUGGUGGGGGUUGGAAAGUUUCGGCGGUUGGGGAUGGACUCGCGGCUUAUCAGCUUGUUGGUGGGGUAGUGGCUUACCAAGGCUUGGACGGGUAGCCGGCCUGGGAGGGUGACCGGCCACAUUGGGACUGGGAUACGGCCCGGACUCCUACGGGAGGCAGCAGUGGGGAAUAUUGCACAAUGGGCGGAAGCCUGAGGAAGCAACGCCGCGUGCGGGAUGACGGCCUUCGGGUUGUAAACCGCUUUCGCCUGUGACGAAGCGUGAGUGACGGUAAUGGGUAAAGAAGCACCGGCUAACUACGUG